GAUCAAGCGCAAAAGGGCGUCUGGUGGAUGCCUUGGCGUUGAGAGGCGAUGAAGGACGUGGCACACUGCGAUAAGCCA
rnacentral:rRNA from 1 species